AUCAACGGAGAGCGCGCUAGGCAAGUUUGGCGAGUUUUGCGUCUUUGCGUGGUUUGUGGGCCCUUUUCUUUUUUCACGCUUUGAUUCUCUUAAGGACUAAAGACUUUAUUUUUUUUUUGCAAGGAGGGAAAGGCCGCUGAUUUCAGAAUCAGCGGGAACCCCAGCCCGUCCUCUGUAACUGACGGCGUGGCGCAUCGGCUGGAACGACCGACGGGAGCGCUCCUCUGAGAGCGUCCACUCGGAUGUGGCGGGAUGCAGGCGACCUGGGGAUUACAGGUAGCCUCAUUAGGAGCUGUGGGCACAGAGAAAUCUUCGUUGUCUCUGGACAAGUGAUGAUCUUUGUUAAUUUGGGGUAUGGCAUUCUACUUCUUCACAGCGUCGGGGAAAAGGGUACCAGAAAGUGAAACAUUAGUCACAAGAGAGAUUGUUUUUUUUUUUUAAUGGCCUUUCUUUGAUAUUUGUCAUUCUCCCAGAGAAAAGGGAAAAAAUAAAAUGAACUGGUUUAAAAAAGAAUUAACAAAGGUUUUUUGCGUUUGUCUUCUAUUU
rnacentral:lncRNA from 1 species